GGCCUUUGGUCCCGGUUGGCGGCACCAACCGGGACUAAAGGGGGGCAUUGGUCCCGGUUCGUGGCACAAACCGGUACCAAUGCCCACCCUUUAGUCUCGGUUGGUGGCACCAACCGGGACCAAAGGCCGCC
rnacentral:ncRNA from 1 species